GAUGAAGAACGUAGCGAAAUGCGAUACGUAAUGUGAAUUGCAGAAUUCAGUGAAUCAUCGAAUCUUUGAACGCACAUUGCGCCUUCUGGUAUUCCGGGGGGCAUGCCUGUCCGAGCGUCAUUGCUGCCCUCAAGCACGGCUUGUGUGUUGGGCCUCCGUCCUCCUCCCGGGGGACGGGCCCGAAAGGCAGCGGCGGCACCGCGUCCGGUCCUCGAGCGUAUGGGGCUUCGUCACCCGCUCUUGUAGGCCCGGCCGGCGCUUGCCGACACAUCAAUCUUUUUUCCAGGUUGACCUCGGAUCAGGUAGGGAUACCCGCUGAACUUAAGCAUAUCAAUAAGCGGAGGA
rnacentral:misc_RNA from 1 species